rnacentral:tRNA from 1 species
GGUGAUGUAGCUCAAUUGUACAGAGUAUAUGUCUAGUACGCAUGAGUCCCUAGGUUCAAUCUCUAGGAUUUCCC